rnacentral:rRNA from 1 species
AGCAGUCGCCGCGGGAAUACAGAGGGUGCGAGCGUUAAUCGGAUUUACUGGGCGUAAAGCGUGCGUAGGCGGCUUUUUAAGUCGGAUGUGAAAUCCCUGAGCUUAACUUAGGAAUUGCAUUCGAUACUGGGAAGCUAGAGUAUGGGAGAGGAUGGUAGAAUUCCAGGUGUAGCAGUGAAAUGCGUAGAGAUCUGGAGGAAUACCGAUGGCGAAGGCAGCCAUCUGGCCUAAUACUGACGCUGAGGUACGAAAGCAUGGGGAGCAAACAGGAUUAGAUACCCCUGUAGUCCCUGUCUCUUAUAC